rnacentral:rRNA from 1 species
GACGAACGCUGGCGGCGUGCUUAACACAAGCAAGUCGAACGGAAAGGCCCUGCUUUUGUGGGGUGCUCGAGUGGCGAACGGGUGAGUAACACGUGAGUAACCUGCCCUUGACUUUGGGAUAACUUCAGGAAACUGGGGCUAAUACCGGAUAGGAGCUCCUGCUGCAUGGUGGGGGUUGGAAAGUUUCGGCGGUUGGGGAUGGACUCGCGGCUUAUCAGCUUGUUGGUGGGGUAGUGGCUUACCAAGGCCUUGACGGGUAGCCGGCCUGAGAGGGUGACCGGCCACAUUGGGACUGAGAUACGGCCCAGACUCCUACGGGAGGCAGCAGUGGGGAAUAUUGCACAAUGGGCGGAAGCCUGAUGCAGCAACGCCGCGUGCGGGAUGACGGCCUUCGGGUUGUAAACCGCUUUCGCCUGUGACGAAGCGUGAGUGACGGUAAUGGGUAAAGAAGCACCGGCUAACUACGUG